GUCUAAAGCCAAACAAUCCUCAUGUGCUCCAGUAGUCAUCUUCUGUCUACACUUCUGUCUAUGCAGUCUUAAUCACUACAUUUCAGAUUUUGGCAACACUCUGUUUCUCUAACUCAUUCAUGAAUCCACAACAGAUAUUUACCAGCGUGUGUAAAGUGUGAAACGUGUACCAAAUUUCCCAAUCAGGUAUGACUAGGGCAGCCUCUAAUGCUUGUGGGGCUGCUACACACUCCUGUGCCGUAGGUGGCGACGUGCACCUGGAGGUUGUUUGUGAUCCGCCAGUAAAUCCAGAGAAGAAGAAGAGCCAGGUAUUUCCUGCAUGAGAGAAGGUGUGCCAGCGAGUCGUGGGACGUGGACGCCGCCACAGAAGGACUUCAGUCUGUCCAGGCGUCACUUCCAGAGACAGUCCUGGUUUCUGGAUCCCCCUCCCCUCCA